rnacentral:rRNA from 1 species
AUACGUAGGUGGCAAGCGUUGUCCGGAAUUAUUGGGCGUAAAGCGCAUGUAGGCGGUUUGGUAAGUCGGUCGUGAAAAUGCGGUGCUUAACGCCGUAUGGCGAUUGAAACUGCUGAACUUGAGUGCAGGAGAGGAAAGGGGAACUCCCAGUGUAGCGGUGAAAUGCGUAGAUAUUGGGAAGAACACCGGUGGCGAAGGCGCUUUUCUGGACUGGGAUGGAGGCUCAGAUGCGAAAGCCAGGGUAGCGAACGGGAUUAGAUACCCCGGUAGUCCGGGCCGUAAACGAUGGGUAAUAGGUGUGGGAGGUAUCGACUCCUUCCGUGCCGGAGUUAACGCAAUAAGUACCCCGCCUGGGGAGUACGGCCGCAAGGCUUAAACUCAAAGGAAUUGACGGGG